rnacentral:rRNA from 1 species
UACGUAGGGGGCAAGCGUUGUCCGGAAUUAUUGGGCGUAAAGAGCGUGUAGGCGGUCCGGUAAGUCCGCUGUGAAAGUCGGGGGCUCAACCCUCGAAUGCCGGUGGAUACUGUCGGGCUAGAGUGCGGAAGAGGCGAGUGGAAUUCCUGGUGUAGCGGUGAAAUGCGCAGAUAUCAGGAAGAACACCCGUGGCUAAGGCGGCUCUCUAGUACGGUACUGACGCUGAGACGCGAAAGCGUGGGGAGCGAACAGG